GAUGAACGCUGGCGGCGUGCCUAAUACAUGCAAGUCGAGCGAACGGACGAGAAGCUUGCUUCUCUGAUGUUAGCGGCGGACGGGUGAGUAACACGUGGAUAACCUACCUAUAAGACUGGGAUAACUUCGGGAAACCGGAGCUAAUACCGGAUGAUAUUUUGAACCGCAUGGUUCAAAAGUGAAAGACGGUCUUGCUGUCACUUAUAGAUGGAUCCGCGCUGCAUUAGCUAGUUGGUAAGGUAACGGCUUACCAAGGCAACGAUGCAUAGCCGACCUGAGAGGGUGAUCGGCCGCACUGGAGCUGAGACACGGUCCAGACUCCUACGGGAGGCAGCAGUAGGGAAUCUUCCGCAAUGGGCGAAAGCCUGACGGAGCAACGCCGCGUGAGUGAUGAAGGUCUUCGGAUCGUAAAACUCUGUUAUUAGGGAAGAACAUAUGUGUAAGUAACUGUGCACAUCUUGACGGUACCUAAUCAGAAAGCCACGGCUAACUACGUG
rnacentral:rRNA from 1 species